GUGGGGAAUAUUGGACAAUGGGCGAAAGCCUGAUCCAGCCAUGCCGCGUGUGUGAAGAAGGUCUUCGGAUUGUAAAGCACUUUAAGUUGGGAGGAAGGGCAGUAAGUUAAUACCUUGCUGUUUUGACGUUACCGACAGAAUAAGCACCGGCUAACUUCGUGCCAGCAGCCGCGGUAAUACGAAGGGUGCAAGCGUUAAUCGGAAUUACUGGGCGUAAAGCGCGCGUAGGUGGUUUUGUAAGUUGGAGGUGAAAUCCCCGGGCUCAACCUGGGAACUGCCUCCAAAACUGCAUGACUAGAGUACGGUAGAGGGUAGUUGAAUUUCCUGUGUAGCGGUGAAAUGCGUAGAUAUAGGAAGGAACACCAGUGGCGAAGGCGACUACCUGGACUGAUACUGACACUGAGGUGCGAAAGCGUGGGGAGCAAACAGGAUUAGAUACCCCUGUAGUCC
rnacentral:rRNA from 1 species